GUAGUCGUGGCCGAGUGGUUAAGGCGAUGGACUCGAAAUCCAUUGGGGGUUACCCCGCAGGUUCGAAUCCUGCCGGCUACG